ACUCCUACGGGAGGCAGCAGUGGGAAUAUUGCACAAUGGGAAGGCAACCUGAUGCAGCCAUGCCGCGUGUGUGAAGAAGGCCUUCGGGUUGUAAAGCACUUUCAGUAGGGAGGAAGGUAGUGUAGUUAACACCUGCAUUAUUUGACGUUACCUACAGAAGAAGCACCGGCUAACUCCGUGCCAGCAGCCGCGGUAAUACGGAGGGUGCGAGCGUUAAUCGGAAUUACUGGGCGUAAAGCGCAUGCAGGCGGCCGUUUAAGUCAGAUGUGAAAGCCCGGGGCUUAACCUCGGAAUUGCAUUUGAAACUGGCAGGCUAGAGUCUUGUAGAGGGGGUGGAAUUGAUCAGGUGUAGCGGUGAAAUGCGU
rnacentral:rRNA from 1 species